rnacentral:lncRNA from 1 species
CAUAAAAUUACAUUCAUCUGAAUAUGCACGAGACCAUCAACCAGCAAGCGAGUAUGUAACUCCUGAAUUUCUUAGUCUUCCCUAAUUAAUUAAUUUUAGGUCUAACCAUGUUUUUGUACCAUAAUCUAGUGACAGGUAGUAUUACGCAACGUCACAUGGGCGCUCGUACAGAAAAUUAGGCACACCAGCAAAUAGGACCUGCAUUUUGGAUGUAUCAGCUUGACAUCACGUGCUACAUACAUCUACAAUCGAUUGCUACAGUCAAAAACAUGGGAAGAAAGGCACACGCCCUCACAAGCACAGCUGACAUUAUGAAUUUAUACGAUCUGCUUGUACGUACACCAUCUAAAACAAAAUUUCAAAUAUUUGACCUUUCCCCUAUUAAGAUUCUAUGUAUGUAUGUCUGCUAGUUUGUCCCCGAUUCACCGAAUGAAGGAAAACGUCAAGAAAAUUAAGCAUGCAGUGCCUUCAAAAAUUAGUUUCUAACUGAUCCCAGCUCCUCAUUCCUGGCGUCGUUCUUCGUUAUUUCCCCAGCUGACAGAAACUGAACGCACGAAAAUUCGAAAAGACAACACCACAAAUAUCCAUAGAACACCAACUGAACUGCAUAUAUGAUCCAAAUGACAGGAGAGAGAGAGAGAGAGNN